AUGAGACUAUUUCAGGGGAUUCAUUCUCUGUGUCCAUCAGGACCUGCCUGUAUUUUGCUUUUUGACCUUGCCCAGGUUUCUCCUUUUCUCUUUUCCACAGAGACUCUUCCAAGCCUUCCUUCUUCUCUCACAAUUUCUCCUUUUCUCCUUUCCUCCUUCCUCUUUUCCACCUCCCAUCUGUAUGUGUCUCUGUCUCCAUGUCUCUCUCUCUCUCUCUCUCUCUCUCUCUCUCUCUCUCUCUCUCUCUCUCUCUCUCAUACACACAAAAACACUCACAUAGAUUUUCCUUCCCCUUUCCCUCUUUCUCUCUUAUGUAAUAUUUCCCUAUCUACUGGCUCCUUUCUUGCUGCCUAUAAAAAAAGACCAAGUCUUUCCCUAUCCAUUUCACACUACUGACCCCACUCUUAUCCUGGACACUGACUUCUCUAGGCUUUUGUGACAUUUUUCCCUCAUGCUUCUCCUCCUACCUGCUCCUUCUCUGUUUCCCUUGCUGGUUCAUCAUCUGUGGCCUUAAAACCAGUACAUUCCCAGCCUCUCUCCAGGGGCCUCUUCUCUUUCUCUAGAUACUUUCCCCUUUAGUGAUCUCAGGAGUUCUCCUGAGUUCUAUUCUCUCAAUUCAGAUGAUACUCAGAGCUCUACAAAGCCCAACUUUUUCUCCAGUGUCAGUGAGUCAUUCAACAAACAGUAAAUGCCUAGUUUGGCACAGAGCUAAGUACUAAGUCCGAUGGACACAACUGCCCAUUGUAUAUUCCAAACUGGAUGGCCUAGGUACAUUUCAAAUUCUCUACGUCCAAGAGAGAAUUCAUUAUCUCUCCCUUAAACUCCUUUUCCAAAUUUCCUUCUCUCUGUUAAGGGUAUCACCAUCCUUCUAGAGACCCAGGUCUAUAACUUCAGAGUUAACCUUUCUUUAAUUACAACAACAAUAAUCAGGAUGAUAAUGUCACCUAGUCCCUGAGCAUACUCAGUUUGCCUAACAGGGAGGCCACUGCAUUCUUACACAUGGGGUAGCCCCCUCUGAUUGCCCCCCCCCCCGUGUUUUUAAAAAUAGUGAGACCAAGUGAGGUACUCUUAGCAGCUGCUGUUCUUUUUUUUUAUCACAGCCCUGAGAAAUGGGCCUGAGAGAGGGGUGCUUGUUUCUGCUUUGGGUUAUUUGUCCUCAGUUACAGGAGACACAGAUAAUCCUCACAGAGUUCAAUUCGUAGAAACUGUGGAGCCAACCAUCCUGACAAAGAAGCCCCAUGAAGCCAUAAGGGCUUCAAGCUAACUGGAGAUGAAGGUUGGAGCUGGAGCUGUCCAGCUCUAAACAGCUCUGCUCAGCCCUCACACACUGGUGACAUUUAUCCUUACCAAUAGGGAGAAUCCACACCAAUGGACUUCAAUUGAGGAGUACUUCAUAAUCAUUUAGGGGGCAGGUAGAUUGCAUAGUGGAUAGAGUGCCAGGCCUGGAAUUAGGAAGACCUGAAUUCAAAUCCAGCCUCAGAUAGACUUACUAGCUCUGUGAUCCUAGACAAGUCACUUUACCCUGUUUGAUUCAGUUUCUUUUUUUGUAAAAUGAUCUGGAGAAGGAAAUAGCAAAUCACUCCUGUAUCUUUGCCAAGAAAACUCCAAAUGGGAUCAUGAUGAGUCAGAAAGGACCAAAUUAUUAAAAAAAAUAAGUAAUAACUAUAAUUAAUGGCAGGCAUAUAGCACCUUAAAGGUAGCAAACUUUUUCACUCCCCAGUUAAAUACUAUUUCAUUUGAUCCUAUCAACAACCCUAGGAGGUAGCCGCUAUUGUUAUUCCCAUUUUAUAGACAAGGACAAUAAGGUAAAUAGAGGUUAAGGAACUUGCCCAGGAUUACAUAGCUCCAAGUAUCUGAAGCUCAAUUUGGCCUCAGAUUUUCCUGACUCCGGGUCCAGUCCUCUAACCACCACACGACCUAGCUUCCUCAUCCUAUAUCCAAUCUGCUGCCAUCAUUCACAAUUCUACCUCCACAUAUCUCCCAUCCACACACUCUUUUCUUCUCAUGUGAAGUCUCACCCUCAUCCCCUUUUUCUGGAUAGUUGCUGUCCCUUACCACCUGGGUCUUGCUGAACAAAUAAUUACUCAUUAUUUUAAAAAAUUAAUGUGACUUCUGUACUUCUAGGAAUCAUGAUGACAAUAAUCAUAGCUACAAUUUAGAGAGUACUUUGAAGCUUGCAGAGGUAUUUACUUAUAUAAUUAUAGUUCAUCGUCCUAACAACCCCAUGAGUUAGUUGCUACUACUCUCCCCAUUUUAGAGUUCACAAAAUUGAGGUUAAGUCCCCAGCUAAUGUGUCUAAGGUAGGAUUUAGACUAUGGUCUCUCUGAUUCCAUGACCAGUGUUCUAUCUACUUCCCCACCGAGCUCUCCUUAGUCAGAGUUAAAAAUGUAUCUUGGAUUCUCGGAUAUCAACAAAGACCAUAAAAAUAAAAAUUUUGAAUUGUGACA
ensembl:lncRNA